rnacentral:rRNA from 1 species
GAUGAACGCUCGCUACAGGCUUAACACAUGCAAGUCGAGGGGAAACGACAUCGAAAGCUUGCUUUUGAUGGGCGUCGACCGGCGCACGGGUGAGUAACGCGUAUCCAACCUGCCCACCACUUGGGGAUAACCUUGCGAAAGUAAGACUAAUACCCAAUGAUAUCCCACGAAGACAUCUGAAUGGGAUUAAAGAUUUAUCGGUGAUGGAUGGGGAUGCGUCUGAUUAGCUUGUUGGCGGGGUAACGGCCCACCAAGGCAACGAUCAGUAGGGGUUCUGAGAGGAAGGUCCCCCACAUUGGAACUGAGACACGGUCCAAACUCCUACGGGAGGCAGCAGUGAGGAAUAUUGGUCAAUGGGCGAGAGCCUGAACCAGCCAAGUAGCGUGCAGGAAGACGGCCCUAUGGGUGGUAAACUGCUUUUAUAAGGGAAUAAAGUGGGUCACGUGUGACUUUUUGCAUGUACCUUAUGAAUAAGGACCGGCUAAUUCCGUG